rnacentral:tRNA from 1 species
GGAGGGGUGACCGAGAGGCUUAUGGUGGCGGUCUUGAAAACCGUUUUCGCUCAGAAGCGAACGUGGGUUCGAAUCCCACCCCCUCCG